UGGGGAAUUUUGGACAAUGGGCGAAAGCCUGAUCCAGCAAUGCCGCGUGUGUGAAGAAGGCCUUCGGGUUGUAAAGCACUUUUGUCCGGAAAGAAAUCCUUGGCUCUAAUACAGUCGGGGGAUGACGGUACCGGAAGAAUAAGCACCGGCUAACUACGUGCCAGCAGCCGCGGUAAUACGUAGGGUGCAAGCGUUAAUCGGAAUUACUGGGCGUAAAGCGUGCGCAGGCGGUUUGCUAAGACCGAUGUGAAAUCCCCGGGCUCAACCUGGGAACUGCAUUGGUGACUGGGCAGGCUAGAGUAUGGCAGAGGGGGGUAGAAUUCCACGUGUGAGCAGUGAAAUGCGUAGAGAUGUGGAGGAAUACCGAUGGCGAAGGCAGCCCCCUGGGCCAAAUACUGACGCUCAUGCACGAAAGCGUGGGA
rnacentral:rRNA from 1 species